AUACGUAGGGGGCAAGCGUUAUCCGGAUUUACUGGGUGUAAAGGGAGCGUAGACGGCACUGCAAGUCUGGAGUGAAAGUCCUGCUUUCAAGGUGGGAAUUGCUUUGGAAACUGGCGGGCUGGAGUGCAGGAGAGGUUAGUGGAAUUCCCGGUGUAGCGGUGAAAUGCGUAGAGAUCGGGAGGAACACCAGUGGCGAAGGCGACUAACUGGACUGUAACUGACGCUGAAGCGCGAAAGCCAGGGGAGC
rnacentral:rRNA from 1 species